UAAAUAUUCCAAGAUGGGUAUUACUCACCUUUAUCUUGCAGAUGAUUUGCUGAUAUUCUCCUAGGGUGAUCUGGAAUCUAUCAAGGUUGUACAAGGGUGCUUUGAUCAGUUCUGAAAAGCUUCAGGCCUACAAGCUAAUAUGAGCAAAAAUUUAAUUUAUUUUGACGGGGUGUUACCAGGUAAAAAUCAAAUAAUCCUCCAUCAACUU
rnacentral:lncRNA from 1 species